CAGUAUGAGUUAUAUACAUUGCUUGUAUUCAAUGGCCAAUGUUAUCCCCACUCAGACAUUUCGACAAGCCAAUCCAGUUUUAAAUGAUCAACAAAUACAUGAAGAACAUAUGUUGCCCUUUCCUAUGGAUCUUAACCAAACAACAACAAUGGAUGCAAUGCAAACUAGAGAUGGUAUUGAUGAUACUAUAAUGGAGGAUCGUGGUCAAUAUUUUCCUGGAUAACCAUUAUGGUGUAUGAUACUUUAUUGUAAUGGAUUAUUUAUUGAGUGUGUAAACUCUAUUUAGAAAUUGGAUCUUGGAUGGAGUGGCUUGUUUUUUCAAGAUAUAGACAU